rnacentral:rRNA from 1 species
GACGAACGCUGGCGGCGUGCUUAACACAUGCAAGUCGAGCGGUAAGGCCCUUUCGGGGGUACGACGAGCGGCAAACGGGUGAGUAACACGUGGGUGACCUGCCCUCAGCUCUGGGAUAAGCCUGGGGAACUGGGUCUAAUACCGGAUAUGACUCCAUGACGCAUGUUGUGGGGUGGAAAGCCUUGUGCGGCUGAGGAUGGGCCCGCGGCCUAUCAGCUUGUUGGUGGGGUGAUGGCCUACCAAGGCGACGACGGGUAGCCGGCCUGAGAGGGCGACCGGCCACACUGGGACUGAGACACGGCCCAGACUCCUACGGGAGGCAGCAGUGGGGAAUCUUGCGCAAUGGGCGAAAGCCUGACGCAGCGACGCCGCGUGAGGGAUGACGGCCU